GACGAACGCUGGCGGCGUGCUUAACACAUGCGAGUCGAACGGAAAGGCCCUGCUUUUGUGGGGUGCUCGAGUGGCGAGCGGGUGAGUAACACGUGAGUAACCUGCCCUUGACUUUGGGAUAACUUCAGGAAACUGGGGCUAAUACCGGAUAGGAGCUCCUGCUGCAUGGUGGGGGUUGGAAAGUUUCGGCGGUUGGGGAUGGACUCGCGGCUUAUCAGCUUGUUGGUGGGGUAGUGGCUUACCAAGGCUUUGACGGGUAGCCGGCCUGAGAGGGUGACCGGCCACAUUGGGACUGAGAUACGGCCCAGACUCCUACGGGAGGCAGCAGUGGGGAAUGUUGCACAAUGGGCGGAAGCCUGAUGCAGCAACGCCGCGUGCGGGAUGACGGCCUUCGGGUUGUAAACCGCUUUCGCCUGUGACGAAGCGUGAGUGACGGUAAUGGGUAAAGAAGCACCGGCUAACUACGUG
rnacentral:rRNA from 1 species